ACGCUCGACACCUACGGGGAGGCAGCAGGUGGGGAAUAUUGCACAAGUGGGGGAAACCCUGAUGCAGCGACGCCGCGUGAGCGAAGAAGUAUUUCGGUAUGUAAAGCUCUAUCAGCAGGGAAGAAACUGACGGUACCUGACUAAGAAGCACCGGCUAAAUACGUGCUAGCAGCCGCGGUAAUCUGAGCGGGCUGGCAAGGC
rnacentral:rRNA from 1 species